AUGAUCGAAGAGAGGAAGGCGGCGCUCGAGGAGAAGAAUGCCACGCUUGAGAAAAAGAGGGUGAAGAUCACCGCCAAUGCGGAGGACGCGAAGAUGUUAACCUUGAAUAUCAACUCUUUGGAUGCCGAUGCUAGAAGGAUUGUGCAAUCCACCCGCUACCACAUGCUGGAGCGGAAAAAGAUGAGUUGGCGGCGAUGGAAGAUGAGGAUGCAGCGAAGGUGGAGGUGGACGCGGUCGCGGAGGCUGCCUAUGCGGCGGCGACGACACCUCCUUGCCGGGAAGCAUCUUGCUGGGAUGGUCGGUCCAGCAAGGUAG
rnacentral:rRNA from 1 species